rnacentral:rRNA from 1 species
CGGUUAAAGUAGUAAGGGCGCAGGGUGGAUGCCUUGGCACUAAGAGCCGAUGAAAGACGUGAUAAGCUGCGAAAAGCUUCGGGGAGGAGCACAUAUCCAAUGAUCCGGAGAUAUCUGAAUGGGGAAACCCGGCAGAGGAAACCUC